UCCUUACAAGAUCAGGCGGCUUUUAGUGCGGCCGGGCCUCUUUUGAGGCAGUGGGAUUUCAAGACUCGCGGGACUUAG
rnacentral:ncRNA from 21 species